UACAGAGGGUGCAAGCGUUGUUCGGAAUUAUUGGGCGUAAAGCGCGUGUAGGCGGCUUGGUAAGUCGGGUGUGAAAUCCCUCAGCUCAACUGAGGAAGUGCGCCCGAAACUGCUUUGCUUGAGUGUCGGAGAGGAUGGCGGAAUUCCCCAAGUAGAGGUGAAAUUCGUAGAUAUGGGGAGGAACACCGGUGGCGAAGGCGGCCAUCUGGACGAUUACUGACGCUGAGACGCGAAAGCGUGGGUAGCAAACAGG
rnacentral:rRNA from 1 species